UACGGAGGGUGCAAGCGUUGCUCGGAAUUACUGGGCGUAAAGCGUACGCAGGCUGUCCGUUAAGUCGGGUGUGAAAGCCCGGGGCUCAACCCCGGAAUUGCGCCCGAAACUGGCGGGCUUGAGUGCGGGAGAGGGAAGCGGAAUUCCUGGUGUAGAGGUGAAAUUCGUAGAUAUCAGGAGGAACACCGGUGGCGAAAGCGGCUUCCUGGCCCGACACUGACGCUCAUGUACGAAAGCGUGGGGAGCAAACAGG
rnacentral:rRNA from 1 species